CCUUUUUUUGUUGUUGGCAGUCAGGCAGGCAAAGAUUUAUCGCACAUGAUAUUUGUCAAAACAUGAAGAUAAAGAUACACAAGCACACACAUCCCAGGGAUACUAGAUACAGCAACAGCCGCUUGGCUGUCAGCAGAUUUGUGUCAGAAGAGCCUAUGAAAAGACGAUAAAUGAGUCUGAAAUGGGCAAACAAAGAGGAGGAGGUCCUCCUCCGCCGACGGAUACGGUCGGUCCUCGAAAGAGGUUAUCGCCUACACUUGUGGCUGAUCCACUUGGAGGCCCAAAUAUUGCCAAACUUUAAGUUUUAUCAGCGUCGGGGCGUCUGAGGCAGGAACCGAAUCAACAAAAACAAAACAAUUAGUCGCCCUGAGGGCCCAGGGGGAUCGGUGGGGAAGGGGCAGAGCAAAGUGCAGUACAUAGCAUAAACUAUUUACUGAUAAGCGUAUAAAUACACGAACACAAACGAAUCCACUCACGUACUGGGCAGGAGAGAGAGAGAGCUGCGAGCAGCGGAAGGCGGCUGAGCAAACACUUGCAAACGCAGUCGACAGUUUGUAGAUAAAGUAUCUACCAGAUACAACACCAACACAACUACUCUCACUACUCACUCUCCCGCAGCACUCUCUCUCGCGAUGGAGAGCUCUCCCGCUCGCUCUCUCCCUCCGGCAAGUGUGUUUGAAUCUCGUAGAUACUUUGGCCUGCCUGCCUGCCUGCCCGUCUCGUCGUAGCCGGAGCCGGAGCCCAUUUCGUUUUUAAUUGUUUUCAGUUUUUGAAUUUAGUUGUAUUUGAUUUCCACGUACUCGCGCACUGUCGUCGCCUCCUGCGCCGUCUCCUCAUUGGGAAAUAAUAAAGUGUAUUUUUUGAAGAACUUUCAAUUUAGGAAGCGUCCAAUUCUCAAAAGGAUCAUAAAGAAAAAAUACAAUAAAUACGUAUAUGUGCACUUGCAUAUACAACCACAUAUAGCGACGAUCACGAACUGUCACUGUCUCACUGUCACUGAGAGCGAUCGAUAGCCGAUACUUUCAAUCGCUGCAUAUAUGGCUGCAAGGACUAAGGACAUCAUAUAGCUAUAAAGCCCCUCAUCACUCUACUCUACUACUCUCAGAUGCCAGUGGCGGAUCCAUCCCCCCGAUAAGGCAUCGCAUCCAACGCAAGGACGUGGACUGAAGGACUGAAGGAUACUACUGACAGAUACUGACGUUCGCUCGCUCUAUUAUUUCCCCUUUCGCUCGCACGCUCUUUUUAAAAACCAAAACAGUUUACAAGAAACAAUACCAAAUAAUUAAAAGCUAAACUGACGCCUCAUUACCAAAUCAUCGGACGUUUCGUUGUCGAAUCGAAUAUAGAAUCAAAAAACAAUUAAAAAAAUAAAAUCCAAAAUCUAAAAUC